GAGUUUGAUCGUGGCUCAGGACGAACGCUGGCGGCGUGCUUAACACAUGCAAGUCGAACGGUAAGGCUCCAGCUUGCUGGGGUACACGAGUGGCGAACGGGUGAGUAACACGUGGGUGACCUGCCCUGCACUUCGGGAUAAGCCUGGGAAACUGGGUCUAAUACCGGAUAGGACCGCACCGUGAGGGUGUGGUGGAAAGUUUUUUUCGGUGUGGGAUGGGCCCGCGGCCUAUCAGCUUGUUGGUGGGGUAAUGGCCUACCAAGGCGGCGACGGGUAGCCGGCCUGAGAGGGUGGACGGCCACAUUGGGACUGAGACACGGCCCAGACUCCUACGGGAGGCAGCAGUGGGGAAUAUUGCACAAUGGGCGAAGCCUGAUGCAGCGACGCCGC
rnacentral:rRNA from 1 species